UGGAUCAUGACCAAGUUUGAAGAGGAAAUGGAUCUCAUUUUUUGGCCUUUUCAGUUUCUUCAGAGAAGUGGGGAAAGUGGGGUCUGGAUUAAUGGACGAAAACAAACUGACGGCUGGACUUCCUGGCAGUUCCGACAGGGCUACUUAAGUCAGAUGAAUGGAGGCCACCCAGCACUCCUCAGCCCUGUGAGUGUUAGAAGCUGUCAGUGCGCUGGCUACAGUGUCAGACCACUCCUAAGAAGACGGAAGCUCUCACUGUCCAAAGCCGAGGCGCUCGUAAGGCUCUCUCUCGCUCACGGCCCUUCCAAGCAUUUGGCUCGGAUUUGUGAACUACGAAGCCCAAUCAGGGAAUGGACGGGAUAUUCUACAAUAAAAAUCCUCCUUGCUGGCCAAGACCAGCUUUCUGUUUUGGUCUUCCUAUACCCAGAUGUGGGGAAUAGACCGCGAUGUGUACAUAUACAUUUGUGUGCAAGUAUAUAUGUGUUGUGUGUGUGUGAGUGUGUGUGUGUGUGUGUGUGUGUAGGCCACGACUCCCCACCUUCACCCUGA
rnacentral:lncRNA from 1 species